rnacentral:guide_RNA from 1 species
AAAUAAAAUGUAUUUGUCAAUGGAUUAGAUGAAUUUAGAGAAUAUUAAUAGU